GAAGUUACUGCUAUCGAGGUUCGGCUAAGCCAUGCGAGUCGAAUGUAGCAAUACAUGGCGAACUGCUCAGUAACACGUGGACAACCUGCCCUUAGGACGGGGAUAAACCCGGGAAACUGGGUAUAAUACCCGAUAGGUCUCGAUUGCUGGAAUGCAUCGAGAUUUAAAGCUCCGGCGCCUAAGGAUGGGUYUGCGGCCUAUCAGGUAGUAGUGGGUGUAGCGUACCUACUAGCCUACGACGGGUACGGGUUGUGAGAGCAAGAGCCCCGGAGAUGGAUUYUGAGACACGAAUCCAGGCCCUACGGGGUGCAGCAGGCGCGAAAACUUUACAAUGCUGGCAACAGCGAUAAGGGAACCUCGAGUGCCAGGUUACAAAUCUGGCUGUCGAGAUGCCUAAAAAGCAUUUCAUAGCAAGGGCCGGGCAAGACCGGUGCCAGCCGCCGCGGUAACACCGGCGGCUCGAGUGGUAACCGUUAUUAUUGGGUCUAAAGGGUCUGUAGCCGGCCGGGUAAGUCUCUUGAGAAAUCUGGCAGCUUAACUGUCAGGCUUUCAGGAGAUACUGUCUGGCUCGAGGCCGGRAGAGGAGAGAGGUACUUCAGGGGUAGGGGUGAAAUCUUGUAAUCCCUUGAAAGGACCACCAGUGGCGAAAGGCGUCUCACCARAACGGACCUGACGGCAAGGGACCRAAASCUAGGGGCACGAACCGGAUUAGAUACCCGGGUAGUCCUAGCCGUAAACGAUACUCGCUAGGUGUCGGCCACGGUGCGACCGUUGUCGGUGCCGUAGGGAAGCCGUGAAGCGAGCCGCCUGGGAAGUACGGUCGCAAGGCUGAAACUUAAAGGAAUUGGCGGGGGAGCACCACAACAGGUGGAGCCCGCGGUUU
rnacentral:rRNA from 1 species